CGGGGGGCACAGGCCAGGGGGUAGCGACUGUUUAGCAAAAACACAGGACUCUGCUAAGUCGGCUUCAAGACGACGUAUAGGGUCUGACGCCUGCCCGGUGCUUGAAGGUUAAGAGGAGGAGUGCAAGCUCCGAAUUGAAGCCCAAGUAAACGGCGGCCGUAACAAUAACGGUCCUAAGGUAGCGAAAUUCCUUGUCGGGUAA
rnacentral:rRNA from 13 species